GGCGUGCGGCAUUCUGGGAAAAGUUAAGAAGGCGGGAGUGGGGUUGUGGGUGUUACCAGGGCAACCGGAGGCGACUGACAGUUGUCUGCGGUUUGGAGCGUUUGGCAGAAAAGGUUGGGAUGCUCAGAGGUCUUUAGGGAUGAGCAAAAGGGCCAAGAGAGCCCUCCUCAAAGAAGAUCAUCCAAUCGGGAGGUUACCGGGUCGCGUUUCACCGCGGGAGUGCUGGACGUGGGAAUCUGGGUCGCGCCCUCUUUUGAGUAUUGAGGCGAAAUGAAGUGCAGUCCAGUGGCUUCUCCCUGUCCUUUCUCUAGUUUUCCG
rnacentral:lncRNA from 1 species